ensembl:lncRNA
ACUCUUCAUGGAGUCGAGAAGGGCCCUCUCAUAGGUCAGCUCUGUCCUGGAGAGACUGUCUUUAAAUUUACCAACACCAGCAGCAGCAAUGACUGUGAGACACACAGUAAAUUUUCCUAUCUCCAUGGGCAAUAAUGGUGGUACCUGGUUCCACACCAGGUUCAGUCACUGCUUGGAGGAAACAGUUGCUUCCAGGCAGCUGGAGGGACUCUAAGAGGAGAAAUUCAUCACUAAUCACACUCCAAAGGACUUUUAUCCUGGAUCAUCAAGGAGUCUCCUUGUGAAGCAGAGAAGAUAAGAAAUAGACACCUUUGGGGGGGGGGGUGCCAAAUUUAUUCAUAAAGCAUUUUUACUGC